rnacentral:rRNA from 1 species
CGAACGGGUGAGUAAUACAUCGGAACGUACCCAGUAGUGGGGGAUAGCUCGGCGAAAGCCGGAUUAAUACCGCGUACGACCUACGGGUGAAAGCGGGGGAUCGAAAGACCUCGCGCUAUUGGAGCGGCCGAUGUCGGAUUAGCUAGUUGGUGAGGUAAAGGCUCACCAAGGCGACGAUCCGUAGCUGGUCUGAGAGGACGACCAGCCACACUGGGACUGAGACACGGCCCAG